rnacentral:rRNA from 1 species
UACGUAGGGUGCGAGCGUUAUUCGGAAUUACUGGGCUUAAAGGGUGCGUAGGCGGCGCAGUAAGUUGGGUGUGAAAUCCCUCGGCUUAACCGAGGAAUUGCGCCCAAAACUACUGUGCUCGAGGGAGAUAGAGGUGAGCGGAACUUAGGGUGGAGCGGUGGAAUGCGUAGAGAUCCGGAAGAACACCGGUGGCGAAGGCGGUCUGCUGGGCAGUAGCUGACACUGAGGCGCGACAGCGUGGGGAGCAAACAGG